rnacentral:rRNA from 1 species
CGCAUCUGUGCAUGCAGCAUAUCAAUAAGCGGAGGAAAAGAAACUAACAAGGAUUCCCCUAGUAACGGCGAGUGAAGCGGGAAGAGCUCAAAUUUGAAAUCUUAAAGGGUUUCCCUUUACGAAUUGUAGUUUAAAGAAGUGUCUUCUGUUGAGGUUUUGGUAAAAGUUCUUUGGAAUAGGACAUCAUAGAGGGUGAGAAUCCCGUAUUUGACCUUUACUUUCAACUUUGUGAUACACUUUCAAAGAGUCGGAUUGUUUGGGAAUGCAGUCCAAAAUGGGUGGUAAAUUUCAUCUAGAGCUAAAUAUUGGCGAGAGACCGAUAGCGAACAAGUACCGUGAGGGAAAGAUGAAAAGAACUUUGAAAAGAGAGUUAAACAGUACGUGAAAUUGUCAAAAGGGAAGCGUUUGACACCAGUGUUGUUUUUCUGAAAAUCAAUUAAAGAACUGUUUAUGCUAAGUUGUUUAGACUUUAUCAGCUAACUGUUUAGUUUUGAGCUUUUCUUUAAUGCACUUUUCAGUUAACAAGUCAACAUCAAUUUCAUUUUGCUGUAAAAAAGCUUGAGGAAGGUGGCUUGAGAUUCGUCUUAAGUGUUUAUAGCCUCUUGCCUAUGCAGUCGGAGAGAUUGAGGUCUGCAGCGUAGAUCCUUCGGGGCUAAAUGCAUUUGUGCUAAGUUGUAGCAUUUUAUAGACAACUUGUUGACUAUGAUUUGUCUUGUAGCUUACUCGCUUAUGUUAUUUUACCUACGCUUAGGAUGUUGACAGCAGUAUAGACUGU